rnacentral:rRNA from 1 species
GACGAACGCUGGCGGCGUGCUUAACACAUGCAAGUCGAGCGGUAAGGCCCUUUCGGGGGUACACGAGCGGCGAACGGGUGAGUAACACGUGGGUGACCUGCCCUCAGCUCUGGGAUAAGCCUGGGAAACUGGGUCUAAUACUGGAUAUGACUCCACGGUGCAUGUCGUGGGGUGGAAAGCCUUGUGCGGCUGAGGAUGGGCCCGCGGCCUAUCAGCUUGUUGGUGGGGUGAUGGCCUACCAAGGCGACGACGGGUAGCCGGCCUGAGAGGGCGACCGGCCACACUGGGACUGAGACACGGCCCAGACUCCUACGGGAGGCAGCAGUGGGGAAUCUUGCGCAAUGGGCGAAAGCCUGACGCAGCGACGCCGCGUGAGGGAUG